rnacentral:rRNA from 1 species
AGUCACUGACAUUAGAUACCCGUGUAGUCCAGGGUGUAAACGCUGCAGACUUGGUGUUGGGAAGUCCUUUGGGGGGCAUUCAGUGCCGGAGAGAAGUUGUUAAGUCUGCUACUUGGGGAGUACGUCCGCAAGGAUGAAACUUAAAGGAAUUGGCGGGGGAGCACCGCAACGGGAGGAGCGUGCGGUUUAAUUGGAUUCAACACCGUAAAACUCACCAGGGAAGACUGUUACAUGAAGGCCGAGAUGAAGACUCUGCUAGAUUUUCAG